AACGAACGCUGGCGGCAUGCCUAACACAUGCAAGUCGAACGGAACCUUCGGGUCUAGUGGCGCACGGGUGCGUAACGCGUGGUAACCCGCCCUUAGGUUCGGAAUAACUCACCGAAAGGGGUGCUAAUACCGGAUAAUGUCUUCGGACCAAAGAUUUAUCGCCUUUGGGUGGGCCCGCGUUGGAUUAGCUAGUUGGUAGGGUAAUAGCCUACCAAGGCGACGAUGCAUAGCUGGUCUGAGAGGAUGAUCUGCCACACUGGGACUGAGACACGGCCCAGACUCCGACGGAAGGGAGCAGUGUGGAAUAUUGGACAAGGGGCGAAAGCCUGAUCCAGCAAUGCCGCGUGAGUGAUGAAGGCCGUAGGGUUGUAAAGCUCUUUUACCCGGGAUGAUAAUGACAGUACCGGGAGAAUAAGCUCCGGCUAACUCCGUG
rnacentral:rRNA from 1 species